rnacentral:misc_RNA from 1 species
UGGUUGGAGAAGUUGUGUUGGUGGAAGAAGUAGAACCAAAGAUGGAAUAAUUUGGAAGUAGUGAACUUGAAGUGACCACAUCUUGGAUUUGCUUAGCGGGGUUAAAUCCGUUAGCUUCAUUGGUACUCAUGAUUCUUGAUGAAAACCCUAAAGGAAGAGCAUUCAGCUGUGGUUGGAGAUCAUACCCAGAAACAGUAUCCACACUUGACGAGACUCUUGAAUUG